GGGGGGAUAGCUCAAUGAUAGAGCAUGUGCUUAGCAUACACGAGGUCCUGGGUUCAAUUCUCAGUACCUCCA
rnacentral:tRNA from 1 species